CAGGACACAAUCUCGUACAUUCAAAAUCGGAGGAAACCAACAUAGAGAAAUCUCAUUGCAAUCGCAACUGCUCGAUCAAACAAAAGUUUGAGAGGAAGGAAAAAAAACAAACAACCAAACUGCCGUGAAUACAAUUCCUUUUGCUGCUAGACAAUUUCUCCUCUCCAAAGGUACCUCAAUUCAUCUACAAUAGCCUCAAUUUUGUGCAUCUCAUAACUAUGUAACCAAUCCAAUAAUCUAGUAACC